AUGCCGAUCGCGCUGGAGAGCGGCGCCCUGUUCGGCCGCGGGGUGCCGCCGGCGUGCGCCGGCUCCUCUUCGGCUGGGCGGGGCAGCAGCAGCCAGGCGGGGGCGGUGCACCUCGAGGAGUCGGAGGAGAGCGAUGGAGAGGUUCAGAGCUCGCUCAGAGGCCCCUUCGACACCAUGGACGCGCUCCAGGAAGCCCUGCCCCGCAGGAGAGAGACGUCCAAAAUCGACAAUACCAAGUCCAGUUCUUUGGCAAGUGCUGGGGAUGUUGUGCUCUCACCUCAAUCAUCAAAAGGGUUUGCUAAUCCUGAAAACCCCUCCCCUAAGAAGCGCAAGGGUCCUCUUCCAUUCAGCAUCGACCAGAAUGAGUCGCAGAGCAAAGAGCUGAGCACUGUUGCUCUUGGGGAUAUCAACAACAGCCCACUGAAGUGCAGGACGCCGUCGUCUCCAGCUGCUAGAAGCAGUUCUCCAUGCAAGAGCAGUAAAGAAGAUGAGCAUGGGUUCUGUACCAACAUGCCCUGCCAUAGCCUGCAGAGAGAAUUCAGUGACAUGAAUGUCUUUUCUUCUCCACCUGUUGGCCUUCAAACUCAACUCAUCUCAGUUUCAACGGUCGGUCUGCAAGACGUGGGGGCAUCGACUGAUGUGGUUUCUCCCAGGGAAAAGCGCAGAAAGAAUUAG
rnacentral:rRNA from 1 species